UAAUCCGUUUUUUUCUUGUAA
rnacentral:piRNA from 1 species